rnacentral:rRNA from 1 species
AUGUGCAUAUCUAAAAACCAAAGAAGAGUGGGAUUUCGUGAUAUUCCUUGUUUCAACUUGGUACUGCUCGCCAAACAGGCAUGGCACCUUCUGGAUAAUCCUCAUUCUUUGUGUGCUAUAAUUCUAAGGGUUAAGUACUAUCCUGAUGGCGAUUUGUUAAAUUCUAAGCAAAAGAAAGGCUCUUCUUUUACCUAGCAAAGUAUUAUGGCUGGCAUAAAUUCUCUAAAACAUGGCUAUAUUUGGCGCGUAGGGAAUGGACAAAAUAUCAAUAUUUGGGAAGAUGCCUGGAUCCCAAAUUGUGCCACUAGAAAAGUUGUGGUGCCUAAGGGGGGAGAACUGUUAUUAACUGAGGUGGGUGAUCUGAUUAAUCCUGCUUCGAAUACUUUGGAUGAAGACCUGAUUACACAAACAAUGUGUCCCAUUGAUGUUCAACGGAUUCUCUCAAUUCCAAUCUCGCAACAUGAUAUGCCAGAUUUCAGUGAUUGGAGUUAUACGAAAAAUGGUAUAUUCUCGGUUUGGUCUGCUUAUUUUGUGGAGUGGGACUAUGGAAGUAAACUAUGA